GAACCGUCGACAGUCAGGUAACGAGCGAGACCCCUGCGUCUAGUUGCUACCAUUACUCUCUGGAGCAGUGGAGCGAAUUAGACGGACCGCCACAGUUAAUGUGGAGGAAGGAAGGGGCCACGGCAGGUCAGUAUGCCCCGAAACCCUAGGGCUACACGCGGGCUGCAAUGGUAUUGACAAUGUGUUCCGAAUCCGAAAGGAGGAGGCAAUCAUCAAACAAUAUCUCAGUUAUGACUGAGGGCUGUAACUCGCCCUCACGAAUAUGGAAUCCCUAGUAACCGCGCGUCACUACCGCGCGGUGAAUACGUCCCUGCUCCUUGCACGAAUUCGCCG
rnacentral:rRNA from 1 species